rnacentral:rRNA from 1 species
GCAUUCCUACGGGGCGCAGCAGUCGGGAAUAUUGCGCAAUGGAGGAAACUCUGACGCAGUGACGCCGCGUAUAGGAAGAAGGUUUUCGGAUUGUAAACUAUUGUCGUUAGGGAAGAUAAAAGACUGUACCUAAGGAGGAAGCCCCGGCUAACUAUGUGCCAGCAGCCGCGGUAAUACGGAGGAUCCGAGCGUUAUCCGGAUUUAUUGGGUUUAAAGGGUGCGUAGGCGGUUUGAUAAGUUA